AAUAUUUAUGUAGAAGAGAUGCUGUGACACAUACAAUUACCUUAUAAAAGUGAGUGUAGGAUAAUAUUGAGUCAAAAUAAGUUAUUACAAAGAAAAUAUAUUCAGACUUGUGUUUUUAUUUUUAAUGUCAAUUCUCAAUCAAUAUCUCGCAGAAUAAGAAUCUUGAUUUUGGGCAUGGAAGCCAUCUUAGGUGCAAAAUUGUUUCAUGAUAAGUGAGUCACUUUUAUAUAAUGAUAACCGAUCGUUAAUUACUCAGUGAUAUGUGUGUUCAACGUUCUUAGAAAUCAGUAAUUUUUAAAUUUUUCUAUGUGAUUCUAAUUUUACCACAUUUUGAGAACCCCUGGUAGGGAUAAAAUAACUGAUCCAUGAGACAGCAUGCAAAAUUUUCCUUUGAAAUUUGAUUCUCUGGAAGCAACAAAUUGGUAAGGCUUAGAGUGAAUUUUCAGUGAAGUUCUUUUCACACAGAAGUUAUUGUUUCUUUGUUUUUUGGUGUUUUUUUGUUUUGUUUUUUUUUGUUUUGUUUUUACCACCCACUGAAAGGAUUUUAGGGAAGAAGUAGAUGUAAUCAAGUAGACUGGUUAGGAACUGGGAAAGGAAAGAAAUCUGUCAUUCCUUUCUUAGCAUUUUCUAUUUACAGUCAGUUCAUGUCAAGUGUAACUUAUUGUAUAGGUUAGCAUCUUAAUUAACAAGAAAUUAGAGAGUUCUAUAAAAGCCCUUGUAUUGGUUAACUUUCCGCCUCAUUGCUGUGGCAAAAUUCCUAACAUGAGACAACUUAAGGGAAGACUGGUUUGUUGUGGCUCCUAAUUCAGAUGCUAUGGUCUAUCCUGAAGGGAAAUAAUGGAGGAAGGAGAAGCUGGAAUCUGUGGUGGUAAGUGAAUGCGGGUGCCCUGCUUUCUUCAGUUUCCAUUGUGUGCAACCCAUGCAAUGGCACCACACACAUGUAGAGAGAUCUUGCAUCUUUGGAUAAACCCAUCUAGAGAUGCCCUCAAAGGUAUUUAGAGGCAUUCAGGAUGAUUCAUAGUCCAGUAGUGUUGACAUUAACCAUUAUGACCUUAAUGACCUGUAGAAAUGAGUAUAGAAUAAAAGCAAAAGGAAGACAGACAAUUGAGACAGGGUGAGAUUGAGGAGCAGUGAAUCAGUGAGAUGAAACCUUGUCAGCUCUCAUCCAGAGAGGGUAUCCAGGCACAUUGUCAUGAGCAGUGGAAUGAGUAAAUCUCUCCUUUUCUACAGAUUCCAAAUUACUUUAUUUUUUUAAGUGUCAAGAGUAGUAAGAAACUGCAAGACCACAAAUGUGGCAAAGUUUCUUUUCUGUUUUAAAAUAACUUCUUACAUGUCUCUUGACUGAUUUAUGAGAAGUUGCUUUGUUAUCAACUUCAGUUUGUCAUCAACAGUAUCAGUUUAAAUAGACUUGUUCACACCUUGGCUACUCAAUGAGUGGUCUAUGACCAAACAGCAUGAUUGUCACCUCAGAACUUUUUAGAAAUGAGCAAUUUCGUCUCACUGAUUCACUGCUCCUGUGUGAAUUUGACAGUCACUUCUCUGAAUUGCAGGGUCCAGAUUUUUGUGAACAAGUGUUUCGUGAAACCCUUUAUUUCAAAUUUAAAUUCUGAUUAAAUGUAAAAUAUUAAACAUUUUUACUAUAGACAUACCUUCUAAUAAAAAAGGAAAAUGAUUUUAAUUUAUAACCUGUACAUAUUAAGAUUAUAUUUUGUUUUUUAAAAAAUGGGUGAACAAAUACCCUCUCAAAUGAGGCUGCUUUUCGAUCUUAUCUGUAAUAAAAAUGAUUAGAUACUUCUCUGAAGUUUAUAUGCUCAUAACUGAUGUUAGCUUGCAAUUGAAGAUAUCAAGAAAAUAAUUUCAAUAAAAAAUUCUAACGUCAGAAGUACUUAUUGCAUAUGAUCAGAGACCAAUCACUCUCUUCAGUGGGAUUUGCCUAGUAUAAGCACACUGGGCUGAUGGUCAUAUUUUGCAGAGUCAGAAUCUUCAUUCUGGAGUAGCCUUUCUUGGCAAAGUAAAAUAAGUCACAUAAAUUUUGCAAUUAUCUCAGCUGUGUGUGGAUCUACUUUGUAGUAUCAUCCUUAAAUAUCAUCUAUGGUAGUUAGAAUAUUUUCAGAUCCUGGAGAAUUGAUCUUUUCUCAUUAUCUGGAACUGGUAUUUUGAUUUGUAUGCUCUAGAUACAUAUUAACAUAGGAGUUGAUAUGUUGAUUCUGAGAUUAUUUAGACAUAACUUAGUCAAACUAUCAAAAAUACUUCUAUAUUGGUUUUUCCUGAGAUUAACGGCACUGGUUGCUUUUUGAGACUAGUUAGGUAGCAUUUAUCAAGAGAAACUUAAACCUUUAUUCUUUCAAUUCUCCUAUUAGCGCUUCAACCAGGCCUUGGGCCAUUUUUACUCUUUGUUUGUUUUUUUCUGUUUAUUUAAAUGAUUACCCAAAUCUUCAGAUCAAGAGAUUUUAUUGCUAAAAUCAAAAUACUCUUGAUAUGAUUAAUGUGAGUAUGAGAUUGGAAGCAUCUUAUUUAAACUUACACCGACUUGGUCAUUACUCAUUUUCCUACUUUCUGAAUCUGAACCUUGUAAUUCAAUAAACAGCAGGAAAAUAGUAAUUCUACUUAACCUUUAAAAUACAAAUUAUCAAAUCUUAAAACAUGCAGAAUUACACUGAUAUGUUCCAUCUGAAAUCAACUCAGUCAAUACAUUUACUUUUGUUGCUUAAUUAGAGUAAAAUGUCAUCUGGUGAGAGGAGAGGAUGUCCAAACAGGUACAGUUAUUAUAGAAACAAUAGCAAUAUUAUAAACAAUAUUGAUGUCAAAUCUCAAUUUUAGCAUUGCUUUGUUCUGAAUUUAUUUAAUUAGCUUCUGGUUUUACAAAUUAUCUCUUUAUUGCUUUUAGAAAAGGUGAUAGACACCUAUAAAUCAUUCAAUGCAUUUCAUAUAACAAGUCUACUUUUGUCAAAUUUAAUACUUAAAGUUCCCUUUAUUUAAUUUUAUAUCCCUGAUUGAAAAUUUGGGAUAUCAGGAAUUUGUAUGAAUGCAUUGAAGAUCUCAUUAAUUGGAAAGUUAGUUAAGUAUGCCCAUUAUUAUCAUAUUACUCAUUAUCUUUUCACAUAUUAGUACAUAGAAAGUCUAUAAAUCCUUGGCCUGCAUCUAUGUUCUAUCUCUCCAGUAUCAUAAUUUCCAGUGUUAUUUCUAGCACGAGUAAAUAACAAAAAAAUGUACUAUUUUAUUGAAUGUAUGAAAGAAAGUAUAAUACUUCUUCUUUCACUUAUGAGAUAAUUCUGAUUGCUAAGUCUAAACUUAAGGGAAUUAUGGAAAUUAUGAUACUGGAGAAAUAGAACAUAGAUGUAGGCCCAGGAUUUACAGACUUUCUAUAAAUUAUUCAAUGCAUUUCAUAUAACAAGUCUACUUUUGUCAAAUUUAAUACUUAAAGUUCCCUUAAAUAUUAAAUUGUAUUUACUUUGUCUGGGUGUUUCAGUGUGAUGAAUCCUCUUUUUUGAAUGGUAUUUCCUUGUGACCAAUUAGUCCCAAACUUCUCACACAUCAAAAUACAUUGUCUUCAUUCACACAUUUUUGUAGGAUUCUUGUUCAGUCUUAAUGGAUUUUUUUCAUUUUUAUUUUUUAUUUCACAACUACCAUUUUAUAGAGAUACAAAAGAAUGCCAGUUAAAUAUACUGAUUCCUAGGUGAAGGAAUGAUAUCAAACCUCAUGCUUAUAUUAUAUUGCAAU
rnacentral:lncRNA from 1 species